UCCCCCGGUCGCUCUCCUCCGGCGGUCGCCCGCGCUCGGUGGAUGUGGCUGGCAGCUGCCGCCCCCUCCCUCGCUCGCCGCCUGCUCUUCCUCGGCCCUCCGCCUCCUCCCCUCCUCCUUCUCGUCUUCAGCCGCUCCUCUCGCCGCCGCCUCCACAGCCUGGGCCUCGCCGCGAUGCCGGAGAAGAGGCCCUUCGAGCGGCUGCCUGCCGAUGUCUCCCCCAUCAACUGCAGCCUUUGCCUCAAGCCCGACUUGCUGGACUUCACCUUCGAGGGCAAGCUGGAGGCCGCCGCCCAGGUGAGGCAGGCGACUAAUCAGAUUGUGAUGAAUUGUGCUGAUAUUGAUAUUAUUACAGCUUCAUAUGCACCAGAAGGAGAUGAAGAAAUACAUGCUACAGGAUUUAACUAUCAGAAUGAAGAUGAAAAAGUCACCUUGUCUUUCCCUAGUACUCUGCAAACAGGUACAGGAACCUUAAAGAUAGAUUUUGUUGGAGAGCUGAAUGACAAAAUGAAAGGUUUCUAUAGAAGUAAGUAUACUACCCCUUCUGGAGAGGUGCCCUAUGCUGCUGUAACACAGUUUGAGGCUACUGAUGCCCGAAGGGCUUUUCCUUGCUGGGAUGAGCCUGCUAUCAAAGCAACUUUUGAUAUCUCAUUGGUUGUUCCUAAAGACAGAGUAGCUUUAUCAAACAUGAAUGUAAUUGACCGGAAACCAUACCCUGAUGAUGAAAAUUUAGUGGAAGUGAAGUUUGCCCGCACACCUGUUACAUCUACAUAUCUGGUGGCAUUUGUUGUGGGUGAAUAUGACUUUGUAGAAACAAGGUCAAAAGAUGGUGUGUGUGUCUGUGUUUACACUCCUGUUGGCAAAGCAGAACAAGGAAAAUUUGCAUUAGAGGUUGCUGCUAAAACCUUGCCUUUUUAUAAGGACUACUUCAAUGUUCCUUAUCCUCUACCUAAAAUUGAUCUCAUUGCUAUUGCAGACUUUGCAGCUGGUGCCAUGGAGAACUGGGACCUUGUUACUUAUAGAUGAGCUAAGUGUUGAACGGCCGGCUCAGUGCUGUUUUUGGGACUAUGGAAUGCAUCUUCCUCCACCACUCCCCUCAUUUAAUGAAAGGACUUUCUUCUCUCUCCAUCUAGCACAGUAAUCGCUAAUCCCUUAGACAAUGUUUUCCCAAAAUUUCAGGCAGCUAUUCUAUCAACAAACUGAUAAUUAAACUUGUGUCACAUCUUUGA
ensembl:lncRNA NPEPPSP1 NPEPPS pseudogene 1